rnacentral:lncRNA from 1 species
CAGUUCACAGUGUCAGCUCGCACUUUGUCACUCGUAGAGACUUCUCGCAUUUUGCCACUUCAACAUGUGAAAGAGUUGUUGCAUGAUUGGCCAAUUUCUAAUAAUUUGGAACAAAAAAUUACCCAUAAUCAAAAUAAGGCAAAAUACACUUAUGGGAAGAGUUUUAGUGCCUUGCCUUAUGCCAAGUCUAUAUUCAACAUGUAAUCACUAAAUUUUUUCCGGGAUUAAUUUCGUGUUUAAAAAAAAAAGAAAUUUUUUAAAAUUUUUUAUUACAUUUCAACCCUAAACUUUUUGAAAUUACAUUUUGACCCCUUAACUUUCUUAAAAUUACAUUUUAACCUCUAAACUUUCUCAAAAUUAUGUUUAAACCCCAAAAGUUUUGCUGCCGUUACAUAUUGGUCCCUAUGGCAGUCUCUGACGCAAGUUGCACCUGCAACUCGCGGCGGCCGACCUAGGCCCUCCCUAGCCCCCUGCUACCUGCAAAAAGAAAGAGAAAUCAGCUAUAAAAAGGGGUUUAAACCCCAAAAUCAAGGGGAGGAGAUUUCAAAAAAAAAACAAAAAAAGAGAGAAAGCUUUGCUAAAAAGAGAGAAAGAAAGGAGAAGGGAGAAAAAGGAAGAGACGGCGGCGGCACCGUGGCGUCGGCGACAGCAAGCAACGGUGGAGGCUAGACUUUGAAGAAGAAGAAGAAGGAAGAAGAAGGAAGAAGAAAGAAGAAAGAAGAAAGAAAGAAGAAAAGAGGAAGAAGAAGGAACAAAAAAAAAAGGAAAAAAAAAUUAAAUCGGGCCGACCCGACCCGAAUCCGGCC